rnacentral:rRNA from 1 species
UCAUUACUGAGUACUACACUCUCUACCCUUUGUGAACUAUUAUACCUGUUGCUUCGGCGGCGCCCGCGAGGGCGCCCGCCGGUCUCAUCAGAAUCUCUGUUUUCGAACCCGACGAUACUUCUGAGUGUUCUUAGCGAACUGUCAAAACUUUUAACAACGGAUCUCUUGGCUCCAGCAUCGAUGAAGAACGCAGCGAAACGCGAUAUGUAAUGUGAAUUGCAGAAUUCAGUGAAUCAUCGAAUCUUUGAACGCACAUGGCGCCUUCCAGUAUCCUGGGAGGCAUGCCUGUCCGAGCGUCGUUUCAACCCUCGAGCCCCCCGUGGCCCGGCGUUGGGGAUCUGCCACGGCAGGCCCCUAAAACCAGUGGCGGACCCGCUGGGCCCUCUCCUUUGCGCAGUAGCAUCAGCCUCGCAUCGGGAGCCCUCGGCGUCCUGCCUCUAAACCCCCCACAAGCCCGCUCCGGCGGCACCAAGGUUGACCUCGGAUCAGGUAGGAAUACCCGCUGAACUUAAGCAUAUCAAUAAGCGGAGGA